AGCCUUUAGCCCACCAAGUAUUAAAGGUAGCGCCUGCCCAGUGAACCACUUCAACGGCCGCGGUAUCCUAACCGUGCAAAGGUAGCGUAAUCACUUGUCCCUUAAAUAGGGACCCGUAUGAACGGCUAAAUGAGGAUAAAUCUGUCUCCUUUAAUAAAUCAGUGAAACUGAUCUACCAGUACAAAAGCUGGUAUAUCCCCAUAAGACGAGAAGACCCUGUGGAGCUUUAAAUUUAAGCCAAGCAACCAAACAAGCACAGCUAAUGGCUAAAAAUUUUAAGUUGGGGCGACUUCGGAAAAAACCAAAACUUCCGAGCAUAAGACCUUGUCUUUACCAAGACCUACAAGUCAAAGCUAAACUUGACCCAGUACAACUGAUCACCGAACCAAGUUACCCCAGGGAUAACAGCGCAAUCUUCUUCAAGAGUCCAUAUCGACAAGUAGAUUUACGACCUCGAUGUUGGAUCAGGACACCCAAAUGGUGCAGCCGCUAUUAAAG
rnacentral:rRNA from 1 species